rnacentral:tRNA from 1 species
GCAAUGGUGGUUCAGUGGUAGAAUUCUUACCUUCCAUGUGGGAGACCCAGGUUCUAUUCCCUGCCAAUGCA